GAGGGUAUGGCUCAGUGGUAGAGUGCAUACUUAGCAUGCAUGAGGUCCUGGGUUCAAUCCCGAGUAUUUUCA
rnacentral:tRNA from 1 species